rnacentral:lncRNA from 1 species
GAAUUUGGUGGUGGUUAAGGACUUGCGAUGUUGCUUAAUGAGAUUGGCUUCGGUGAUUUAAAAAGGUAGUAUGAAAGAAGAUGAGAGAAGUUUGGAUUUUGCAUGAAUGUGCUUCCAGAAGCUCCAAAAUUGUUCCUUUGUGGCUUGAAAGGUUUUGAGAAUGAAUCAAAUACCUAGCGUAAGUAGUACGUGUGUGCCUCUCUUACCCCACUCCCCCCUCUUAUCCUGUGUCCAGACUAAGUUCUCUCUUCCUCUUUACAAAUUCUCAAUUUAUAAGGGUUUGAGGUUACAUAAGUUAGAUAUAUUCAAGAAAUUCCCCUUUUUUUUUGGUCGAAAAGAUCUUAUAUUCAAAGCACAAGAACCCCAAACAAGAGGCUUACGCCCAUACAAAGGAAAACGAGUCUGUCCAUGCAAGGAACAUAGAGAAAACAUAGAGAGUUCAAAAACCAACCAAUACAUUUAGACUGAUCAAAAAGAAAAGUGCCAGAAAGACAAUCCAACCAUAAGGAUGUCAAAACGAUUCAAGACCAGUCAACAGCCAAAUUAGGCAUGGUGAGGACAAGGGAGUCCAUCCUUGCAGACGAUGUGCACAAGAGAGGUGGGGGGCUGUUCAACCCAAACUUCCGUACUCCUUCUCGAUAGUGCCAGCGAUGCAAGAUGAUC